GAACCUCAAGAAGAAACACAAAAAAAUGAAAGAAGUGAGGAAAAGACAAGAUGUGAGAAUAUCAGAGAAGAAGAGUCUGCUUCGGAGGUCUUAUUCUCAACACAAGGGUCCUCCACUUCAGAUAAACAUGGGGAGACAAAGGUACCUUUGGAAGCAUCACCAGUGAUGUUACCUUUAAGAUUAUUUUCCAGGUCCUCUUUCUUCUCCUUGGAUUUGAAAAGACUUCGUAAAAGAUCAAGUAUGGCAUCUG